UACAGAGGUCCCAAGCGUUGUUCGGAUUCACUGGGCGUAAAGGGUGCGUAGGCGGUCGGGUAAGUCUGACGUGAAAUCUUCAAGCUUAACUUGGAAACUGCGUCGGAUACUAUUCGGCUGGAGGAAUGGAGGGGAGACUGGAAUACUUGGUGUAGCAGUGAAAUGCGUAGAUAUCAAGUGGAACACCAGUGGCGAAGGCGAGUCUCUGGACAUUUCCUGACGCUGAGGCACGAAAGCCAGGGGGAGCAAACGGGG
rnacentral:rRNA from 1 species